GGUGAACGCUGGCGGCAGGCCUAACACAUGCAAGUCGAGCGGCAGCGGGUCCUUCGGGAUGCCGGCGAGCGGCGGACGGGUGAGGAAUGCAUCGGAAUCUGCCCUGUCGUGGGGGAUAACCUAGGGAAACUUAGGCUAAUACCGCAUACGACCCACGGGUGAAAGCGGGGGAUCGCAAGACCUCGCGCGAUAGGAUGAGCCGAUGUCCGAUUAGCUAGUUGGCGGGGUAAAGGCCCACCAAGGCGACGAUCGGUAGCUGGUCUGAGAGGAUGAUCAGCCACACUGGGACUGAGACACGGCCCAGACUCCUACGGGAGGCAGCAGUGGGGAAUAUUGGACAAUGGGCGCAAGCCUGAUCCAGCCAUGCCGCGUGGGUGAAGAAGGCCUUCGGGUUGUAAAGCCCUUUUGUCCGGGAAGAAAUCGUCUGGGCUAAUACCCCGGGCGGAUGACGGUACCGGAAGAAUAAGCACCGGCUAACUUCGUG
rnacentral:rRNA from 1 species